GACAGAGGAGGCAAGCGUUGUUCGGAAUCACUGGGCUUAAAGCGCGUGUAGGCGGCUCUGUAAGUGUCUUGUGAAAUCCCUCGGCUCAACCGAGGAAUGGCUGGGCAUACUGCAGGGCUUGAGGCAGGUAGGGGUCACUGGAACUCUAGGUGGAGCGGUGAAAUGCGUAGAUAUCUAGAGGAACGCCCGGGGCGAAAGCGGGUGACUGGGCCUGUCCUGACGCUGAGACGCGAAAGCGUGGGGAGCAAACGGG
rnacentral:rRNA from 1 species